rnacentral:rRNA from 1 species
GACGUAGGGUGCAAGCGUUGUCCGGAAUUAUUGGGCGUAAAGAGUUCGUAGGCGGUUUCUUAAGUCUGGUGUUAAAGCCCGGAGCUCAACUCCGGCAUGGCAUUGGAAACUGGGAAGCUAGAGUGUGGCAGAGGUCACGGGAAUUCCAGGUGUAGCGGUGAAAUGCGUAGAUAUCUGGAGGAACACCGGUGGCGAAAGCGCGUGACUGGGCCAUAACUGACGCUGAGGAACGAAAGCCAGGGGAGCAAAAGGG